CAGCAGCCGCGGUAAUACCGGCGGCCCGAGUGGCGGCCACUAUUAUUGGGCUUAAAGCGUCCGUAGCCGGGUUGGUUAGUCUCCCGGGAAAUCUGGCCGCUUAACGGUCAGAAUUCCGGGAGAUACUGCCAGCCUAGGGACCGGGAGAGGCCGAGGGUAUUCCCGGAGUAGGGGUGAAAUCCUAUAAUCCCGGGAGGACCACCUGUGGCGAAGGCGCUCGGCUGGAACGGGUCCGACGGUGAGGGACGAAGGCCAGGGGAGCAAACCGGAUUAGAUACCCGGGUAGUCCUGGCGGUAAACGAUGCGGACUUUGUGUCGGACAAGCUAUGAGCUUGUCCGGUGCCGGAGGGAAACCGUUAAGUCCGCCGCCUGGGGAGUACGGCCGCAAGGCUGAAACUUAAAGGAAUUGGCGGG
rnacentral:rRNA from 1 species